GAUCAUGGCUCAGGAUGAACGCUAGCUACAGGCUUAACACAUGCAAGUCGAGGGGAAACGAUAUUGGAAGCUUGCUUCCGAUAGGCGUCGACCGGCGCACGGGUGAGUAACGCGUAUCCAACCUGCCCGUCACUUGGGAAUAACCUUGCGAAAGUAAGACUAAUGCCCAAUGACAUUUAUAGAAGGCAUCUGAAAUGAAUUAAAGAUUUAUCGGUGAUGGAUGGGGAUGCGUCUGAUUAGCUUGUUGGCGGGGUAACGGCCCACCAAGGCAACGAUCAGUAGGGGUUCUGAGAGGAAGGUCCCCCACAUUGGAACUGAGACACGGUUCAAACUCCUACGGGAGGCAGCAGUGAGGAAUAUUGGUCAAUGGGCGAGAGCCUGAACCAGCCAAGUAGCGUGCAGGAAGACGGCCCUAUGGGUUGUAAACUGCUUUUAUAGGGGAAUAAAGUGAGCCACGUGUGGUUUUUUGCAUGUACCCUAUGAAUAAGGACCGGCUAAUUCCGUG
rnacentral:rRNA from 1 species